UGUCAAAAAUAAACAAGAAAAAAUAACUCUAAACAUGGGCCUUUAAGCUUCUCUUCUUUUUACGUUAAAAAUCCCAAUAACAUUCAAUCCUAUUCCUCCACAUCUCUUCAAGCCGCAGCCGUCAAGAACUAUGAAACUUCAUUAGUUCAUGUCCAUAUCAUUCACUCAUUCUGAUCCUAAUCCGCCAAUCUUGGAUACAUCAUAUUUUGAAGGUUGUGAGAUCAAUUAAUGUGAAGGCAUCCUGAUGGGGAAAGUAUGGAACAUUUCAUCAAGAAAAAUACAUGGAUGCUGAAGCUUUGAAUUAUGUUGGUGUAUAUGGAAGUUAUAAGAGAAAAGUUAUGGUUAUGUAGUCAUAUGUUGAAGUAAUUCAUUAUUUUGUUUGAAUUGUAUAUGGUGUACGACUUUUAAACUUUUGAAAUGAAUAAAAAUGUUUGUAGUAUUAUAAGAUGCAA